rnacentral:rRNA from 1 species
AUACGGAGGGUGCAAGCGUUAUUCGGAAUCACUGGGCGUAAAGCGCGCGCAGGCGGCUAUUUAAGUUGGAUGUGAAAGCCUACGGCUCAACCGUAGAACUGCAUCCAAAACUAUUUAGCUAGAGUGUGGGAGAGGAAGAUGGAAUUAGUUGUGUAGGGGUAAAAUCCGUAGAGAUAACUAGGAAUACCAAAAGCGAAGGCAAUCUUCUGGAACACUACUGACGCUGAGGCGCGAAAGCGUGGGGAGCAAACAGGAUUAGAUACCCCAGUAGUCC